rnacentral:rRNA from 1 species
UAUUGCACAAUGGGGGAAACCCUGAUGCAGCGACGCCGCGUGAGCGAAGAAGUAUUUCGGUAUGUAAAGCACUAUCAGCAGGGAAGAAAAUGACGGUACCUGACUAAGAAGCCCCGGCUAACUACGUGCCAGCAGCCGCGGUAAUACGUAGGGAGCAAGCGUUAUCCGGAUUUACUGGGUGUAAAGGGAGUGUAGACGGCAUAGCAAGUCUGAAGUGAAAGCCCAAGGCUCAACCAUGGGACUGCUUUGGAAACUGUUAAGCUAGAGCGCUGGAGAGGUAGGCGGAAUUCCUAGUGUAGCGGUGAAAUGCGUAGAUAUUAGGAAGAACACCAGUGGCGAAGGCGGCUUACUGGACUGUAACUGACGUUGAGGCUCGAAAGCGUGGGGAGCAAACAGG